AUUGAACGCUGGCGGCAGGCCUAACACAUGCAAGUCGAGCGGAGCGGCGGACGGGUGCGUAAUGCCUAGGAAUCUGCCUGUUAGUGGGGGAUAACGUCCGGAAACGGGCCCUAAUACCGCAUAUUCUAAGAUGAGCCUAGGUCGGAUUAGCUAGUUGGUGGGGUAAAGGGCUACCAAGGCGACGAUCCGUAACUUGUCUGAGAGGAUGAUCAGUCACACUGGAACUGAGACACGGUCCAGACUCCUACGGGAGGCAGCAGUGGGGAAUAUGGGACAAUGGGCGAAAGCCUGAUCCAGCCAUGCCGCGUGUGUGAAGAAGGUCUUCGGAUUGUAAAGCACUUUAAGUUGGGAGGCGUUACCAACAGAAUAAGCACCGGCUAACUUCGUGCCAGCAGACGCGGUAAUAC
rnacentral:rRNA from 1 species